rnacentral:rRNA from 1 species
AAACGCGUAUGCAACCUACCUUAUACUGGGGGAUAGCCCAGAGAAAUCUGGAUUAAUACCGCAUAACAAUCAUGAUUCGCAUGUUUUAUGAUUUAAAACUCCGGUGGUAUAAGAUGGGCAUGCGUAGCAUUAGUUAGUUGGUAAGGUAACGGCUUACCAAGACAAUGAUGCUUAGGGGGUCUGAGAGGAUAGUCCCCCACACUGGUACUGAGACACGGACCAGACUCCUACGGGAGGCAGCAGUGAGGAAUAUUGGUCAAUGGGCGAAAGCCUGAACCAGCCAUGUCGCGUGCAGGAUGACGGCCCUAUGGGUUGUAAACUGCUUUUUUACAGGAAUAAUUGCAGAUACGUGUAUUUGUUUGAAUGUACUGUAUGAAUAAGGAUCGGCUAACUCCGUGCCAGCAGCCGCGGUAAUACGGAGGAUUCGAGCGUUAUCCGGAUUUAUUGGGUUUAAAGGGUCCGUAGGCGGUUCUUUAAGUCAGUGGUGAAAUCCCAGAGCUCAACUCUGGAACUGCCAUUGAAACUGAAGAACUUGAAUAUGGUUGAGGUAGGCGGAGUACGUUAUGUAGCGGUGAAAUGCAUAGAUAUAACGUAGAACACCAAUUGCGAAGGCAGCUUACUAAGCCAUUAUUGACGCUGAUGGAGGAAAGCGUGGGGAGCGAACAGGAUUAGAUACCCUGGUAGUCCACGCCGUAAACGAUGAUUACUCGUUGUGCACAAUACACCGUGCGUGACUGAGCGAAAGCAUUAAGUAAUCCACCUGGGGAGUACGUUCGCAAGAAUGAAACUCAAAGGAAUUGACGGGGGCCCGCACAAGCGGAGGAACAUGUGGUUUAAUUCGAUGAUACGCGAGGAACCUUACCUGGACUUAAAUGUAGUUUGACCGGCUUGGAAACAGGUCUUCCCUUCGGGGCAAAUUACAAGGUGCUGCAUGGUUGUCGUCAGCUCGUGCCGUGAGGUGUCGGGUUAAGUCCCAUAACGAGCGCAACCCCUAUCGUUAGUUGCUAGCAGGUAAUGCUGAGGACUCUAAUGAGACUGCCUCCGUAAGGUGAGAGGAAGGUGGGGAUGACGUCAAAUCAGCACGGCCCUUACGUCCAGGGCUACACACGUGUUACAAUGGCCAGUACAAAGGGCAGCUACCUGGUGACAGGAUGCUAAUCUCAAAAGCUGGUCUCAGUUCGGAUCGGAGUCUGCAACUCGACUCCGUGAAGUUGGAUUCGCUAGUAAUCGUAUAUCAGCAAUGAUACGGUGAAUACGUUCCCGGGCCUUGUACACACCGCCCGUCAAGCCAUGGAAGCCGAGGGUGCCCGAAGUACGUUACCGCAAGGAGCGUCCUAGGGUAAAAUUGGUAACUGGGGCUAAGUCGAAACAAGGUA